GAUGAACGCUGGCGGCGUGCCUAAUACAUGCAAGUCGAGCGAAUGGAUUAAGAGCUUGCUCUUAUGAAGUUAGCGGCGGACGGGUGAGUAACACGUAGGUAACCUGCCCAUAAGACUGGGAUAACUCCGGGAAACCGGGGCUAAUACCGGAUAACAUUUUGAACCGCAUGGUUCGAAAUUGAAAGGCGGCUUCGGCUGUCACUUAUGGAUGGACCCGCGUCGCAUUAGCUAGUUGGUGAGGUAACGGCUCACCAAGGCAACGAUGCGUAGCCGACCUGGGAGGGUGGUCGGCCACGCUGGGACUGAGACACGGCCCAGACUCCUACGGGAGGCAGCAGUAGGGAAUCUUCCGCAAUGGACGAAAGUCUGACGGAGCAACGCCGCGUGAGUGAUGAAGGCUUUCGGGUCGUAAAACUCUGUUGUUAGGGAAGAACAAGUGCUAGUUGAAUAAGCUGGCACCUUGACGGUACCUAACCAGAAAGCCACGGCUAACUACGUGCCAGCCGCCGCGGUAA
rnacentral:rRNA from 1 species